rnacentral:misc_RNA from 1 species
AACCGCCCAGUACGGAACCGUAUGCUGGGUGGUGUGGGAGGACAGGUAGGGAAAUAAUCCUUACCUUUCUACCCGAU